rnacentral:rRNA from 1 species
AACAGGAUUAGAUACCCUGGUAGUCCACGCCGUAAACGAUGUCGACUUGGAGGUUGUGCCCUUGAGGCGUGGCUUCCGGAGCUAACGCGUUAAGUCGACCGCCUGGGGAGUACGGCCGCAAGGUUAAAACUCAAAUGAAUUGACGGGGGCCCGCACAAGCGGUGGAGCAAGUGGUUUAAUUCGAUGCAACGCGAAGAACCUUACCUGGUCUUGACAUCCACAGAACUUUCCAGAGAUGGAUUGGUGCCUUCGGGAACUGUGAGACAGGUGCUGCAUGGCUGUCGUCAGCUCGUGUUGUGAAAUGUUGGGUUAAGUCCCGCAACGAGCGCAACCCUUAUCCUUUGUUGCCAGCGGUCCGGCCGGGAACUCAAAGGAGACUGCCAGUGAUAAACUGGAGGAAGGUGGGGAUGACGUCAAGUCAUCAUGGCCCUUACGACCAGGGCUACACACGUGCUACAAUGGCGCAUACAAAGAGAAGCAAUCUCGCGAGAGCUAGCGGACCUCAUAAAGUGCGUCGUAG